rnacentral:rRNA from 1 species
GGUGAACGCUGGCGGCGUGCCUAAUACAUGCAAGUCGAGCGAACAGAUGAGGAGCUUGCUCCUCUGACGUUAGCGGCGGACGGGUGAGUAACACGUGGAUAACCUACCUAUAAGACUGGGAUAACUUCGGGAAACCGGAGCUAAUACCGGAUAAUAUAUUGAACCGCAUGGUUCAAUAGUGAAAGACGGUUUUGCUGUCACUUAUAGAUGGAUCCGCGCCGCAUUAGCUAGUUGGUAAGGUAACGGCUUACCAAGGCAACGAUGCGUAGCCGACCUGAGAGGGUGAUCGGCCACACUGGAACUGAGACACGGUCCAGACUCCUACGGGAGGCAGCAGUAGGGAAUCUUCCGCAGUGGGCGAAAGCCUGACGGAGCAACGCCGCGUGAGUGAUGAAGGUCUUCGGAUCGUAAAACUCUGUUAUUAGGGAAGAACAAAUGUGUAAGUAACUAUGCACGUCUUGACGGUACCUAAGCAGAAAGCCACGGCUAACUACGU